rnacentral:guide_RNA from 1 species
AACCACAUCAACAAAUAAAAAUUACUGUGAAAUU